ACAGAGGUGGCAAGCGUUGUUCGGAAUUACUGGGCGUAAAGGGCGAGUAGGCGGCCUUCUAAGUCAGACGUGAAAUCCCCCGGCUUAACCUGGGAACUGCGUCUGAUACUGGGAGGCUAGAGUAUGGGAGAGGGAUGUAGAAUUCCUGGUGUAGCGGUGAAAUGCGUAGAUAUCAAGAGGAACACCUGCGGCGAAGGCGGGUUGCUGGGCCGACACUGACGCUGAGGCGCGAAAGCUAGGGGAGCGAACGGGA
rnacentral:rRNA from 1 species